rnacentral:ncRNA from 1 species
ACGAUGAAGAGUUUGAUCCUGGCUCAGGAUGAACGCUAGCGGCAGGCCUAACACAUGCAAGUCGAGGGAUAAGCUUUCGGGCUGAAACCGGCGUACGGGUGCGUAACGCGUAUACAAUCUGCCUUUCACAGGGGGAUAGCCCGAAGAAAUUUGGAUUAAUACCCCAUAGGAUAAUGGUGUGGCAUCAUAUUAUUAUUAAAGCUACGGUGGUGAAAGAUGAGUAUGCGUUCUAUUAGCUAGUUGGAGAGGUAACGGCUCCCCAAGGCGACGAUAGAUAGGGGUUCUGAGAGGGAUGUCCCCCACACUGGUACUGAGAUACGGACCAGACUCCUACGGGAGGCAGCAGUGAGGAAUAUUGGACAAUGGUCGGAAGACUGAUCCAGCCAUGCCGCGUGCAGGAUGAAGGUCUUAUGGAUUGUAAACUGCUUUUGCAGGGGAAGAAUAAGGACUACGCGUAGUUUGAUGACGGUACUCUGUGAAUAAGCAUCGGCUAACUCCGUGCCAGCAGCCGCGGUAAUACGGAGGAUGCGAGCGUUAUCCGGAAUCAUUGGGUUUAAAGGGUCUGUAGGCGGGCUGGUAAGUCAGAGGUGAAAGCGCUUAGCUCAACUAAGCAACUGCCUUUGAAACUGCUGGUCUUGAAUGGUUGUGAAGUAGUUGGAAUGUGUAGUGUAGCGGUGAAAUGCUUAGAUAUUACACAGAACACCGAUAGCGAAGGCAUAUUACUAACAAUUAAUUGACGCUGAUGGACGAAAGCGUGGGGAGCGAACAGGAUUAGAUACCCUGGUAGUCCACGCUGUAAACGAUGGAUACUAGCUGUUUGG